rnacentral:rRNA from 1 species
CAAUAGCGUAUAUUAAAGUUGUUGCAGUUAAAAAGCUCGUAGUUGGAUUUCUGGUCAGAAGCUCCUGUCCUCUGAUGAGCGUACAAGUGCGUCCUACCAUCCUUCUGUUAACCUUUAAGGCUUUCGCGGCUUUCUAGGGGCUCAGAUAUUUUACCUUGAGAAAAUUAGAGUGUUUCAGGCAGGCUAGCGCCGGAAUACAUUAGCAUGGAAUAAUGGAAUAGGACUUUUGCCUCUUCUGUUGGUCAUGAGGCUCGAGUAAUGAUUAAUAGGGAUAGUUGGGGGCAUUAGUACUUAACUGUCAGAGGUGAAAUUCUCGGAUUUGUUAAAGACUAACUUAUGCGAAAGCAUUUGCCAAGGAUGUUUUCAUUAA